AUUUGUUUGUACUUACAAUACUAAUAUUCAUUUGCUUCAUAUAGAAAAUUUGUGCCAAGAAUAAGGAGAACCGAGAAGGUGUUAAGCAUCACCAAACUACGGGCUCUAGGUCUUAUCCUUCUCAUUUCCACCAACUUAAAAAAGACAAGUACAACAAUGAGGAUCCUAGUCCCAUUGAGUUUUUCAAAGAGACCCAUACCAAUAGAAAGACGGGAUGCAUGAGCACAGCUGCGCUUGAAGCUUAUACUGAUAUGGAAAACAAAAGGAGUGAAGCGCUUGAGCACCCGGUGUCUGGUACACAUAUUGUGGCUGAAGUUCUAAAGGAGCAUAGCUCCUCAAGCACCUUCCUUUCUACCAUGGGGUAUCAAUCAAGAUCCUGGGAGGUCUAGGACAUCGACU